AAAUUGAAGAGUUUGAUCAUGGCUCAGAUUGAACGCUGGCGGCAGGCCUAACACAUGCAAGUCGAGCGGUAGCACAGAGAGCUUGCUCUCGGGUGACGAGCGGCGGACGGGUGAGUAAUGUCUGGGAAACUGCCUGAUGGAGGGGGAUAACUACUGGAAACGGUAGCUAAUACCGCAUAAUGUCGCAAGACCAAAGUGGGGACCUUCGGGCCUCAUGCCAUCAGAUGUGCCCAGAUGGGAUUAGCUAGUAGGUGGGGUAACGGCUCACCUAGGCGACGAUCCCUAGCUGGUCUGAGAGGAUGACCAGCCACACUGGAACUGAGACACGGUCCAGACUCCUACGGGAGGCAGCAGUGGGGAAUAUUGCACAAUGGGCGCAAGCCUGAUGCAGCCAUGCCGCGUGUGUGAAGAAGGCCUUCGGGUUGUAAAGCACUUUCAGCGGGGAGGAAGGCGUUAAGGUUAAUAACCUUGGCGAUUGACGUUACCCGCAGAAGAAGCACCGGCUAACUCCGUGCCAGCAGCCGCGGUAAUACGGAGGGUGCAAGCGUUAAUCGGAAUUACUGGGCGUAAAGCGCACGCAGGCGGUCUGUCAAGUCGGAUGUGAAAUCCCCGGGCUCAACCUGGGAACUGCAUUCGAAACUGGCAGGCUAGAGUCUUGUAGAGGGGGGUAGAAUUCCAGGUGUAGCGGUGAAAUGCGUAGAGAUCUGGAGGAAUACCGGUGGCGAAGGCGGCCCCCUGGACAAAGACUGACGCUCAGGUGCGAAAGCGUGGGGAGCAAACAGGAUUAGAUACCCUGGUAGUCCACGCCGUAAACGAUGUCGAUUUGGAGGUUGUGCCCUUGAGGCGUGGCUUCCGGAGCUAACGCGUUAAAUCGACCGCCUGGGGAGUACGGCCGCAAGGUUAAAACUCAAAUGAAUUGACGGGGGCCCGCACAAGCGGUGGAGCAUGUGGUUUAAUUCGAUGCAACGCGAAGAACCUUACCUGGUCUUGACAUCCACAGAACUUUCCAGAGAUGGAUUGGUGCCUUCGGGAACUGUGAGACAGGUGCUGCAUGGCUGUCGUCAGCUCGUGUUGUGAAAUGUUGGGUUAAGUCCCGCAACGAGCGCAACCCUUAUCCUUUGUUGCCAGCGGUCCGGCCGGGAACUCAAAGGAGACUGCCAGUGAUAAACUGGAGGAAGGUGGGGAUGACGUCAAGUCAUCAUGGCCCUUACGACCAGGGCUACACACGUGCUACAAUGGCAUAUACAAAGAGAAGCGACCUCGCGAGAGCAAGCGGACCUCAUAAAGUAUGUCGUAGUCCGGAUUGGAGUCUGCAACUCGACUCCAUGAAGUCGGAAUCGCUAGUAAUCGUAGAUCAGAAUGCUACGGUGAAUACGUUCCCGGGCCUUGUACACACCGCCCGUCACACCAUGGGAGUGGGUUGCAAAAGAAGUAGGUAGCUUAACCUUCGGGAGGGCGCUUACCACUUUGUGAUUCAUGACUGGGGUGAAGUCGUAACAAGGUAACCGUAGGGGAACCUGCGGUUGGAUCACCUCCUUA
rnacentral:rRNA from 2 species